UUUAGGCUCAUGAUCGAAUUCAUCUGGAAGUUUUCAGAGUUUUGCUUUUAAUAAAGCACUGCGCACAUUAUCCUUUAUUGCAGCGGUGUAUUCGGUGAGAGAACAAACAACAGAUUAAACGUAACCUAUUAAAACAACGAAGAUUUAAUUACAAAUAAGAGAAAGAAAAAGAAUUACGUACAUACAGGAGAGAAGCAAACAAAAAUUAAAUAUGGGAAGAGAUACAGACAGACUUAAAAUCAUUAGCAUGAAUGCUUCUGGAAGAAAAGGACGGCAAUAUCAGAACUAUCGGAAGUCUUAUUUGAAGGAUGUAAUCGGAGACAAUAAACCCGAUUUAUUAUUUUUGCCAGGAGACGAUCCUGAUAUGUCGUCCCCAGUACUAAGUGAUUAUCGUCAAACACAAGUUCAUCAUAACCACGAGACUGUACUUUUGUACGAUACUAAGAGAUUGAAAUUGAAUACACCAGAUUGGUACGAUAUGGUACCAUCUAUGGUAGUCCCUGGCAUACAACAAGGCAAAUUAAUGUAUCCCUUAUUCGACAUCCUGUCUCCUAAACCUACUCAACACGUCGUCAAGCAUUUCCAUUGUAUUAGUUGGCAUUGGGAACUUACUCAAACGACAUCAGAUGAACUGUAUAAGUUUGCCUUCCGUUACUUAUGCAUGGCGCAAUAUCUAGGAUGGAUUUCUGGAGUUGAGAUCUUAAUAGGAGGCGAUUUUAAUUUGCCAAUUCAACAGAUCCAAAAGCUACUAAAUGAACAUAAUACACUCGUCCAAAAACAAGUUGACGAUAUCAAACCAUUUUUCAAGAAAAUGGGAUAUAUGGAUGAAAUGACGGAUAACAUACAUCGUCCAGGACGCCGACUCCGGCAACUUAAACUGCACCAGUGUAAGUCUGUAGCAGGAAUAAACAAGGAAACGGACUACUUUGUCGCAUCAAAGGAAAUGCAGCUAUGUAAAACUGAAAUGAUGACAGCUUCUACACUUCCAGGAAGAUGUACAACUCUGACGGUGACCAGGCCAGCUGUACAGAAUUACUGUCCUUUGCCAACGAAAACAGAAAUGUGUAUUCCAGCAAGACCACCAAGACACAACGGUGGCUAAAAUGUUUUCCUAUUUCUUUUCUUUUUUAAAUUACAUGUACAUAGAUUCCAAGUUUUAUUCGUGAAGUUUGUCUUUCUCUUUCAUCUGAUUUCUUUUUAUCAGUUUGUAUGUAUAUUUUAUUAUUCAAAAUAUAGAAGAAAAAAAAGGAAACAAAUCCUAGAAAAAAAAUUAAAUGUAAAAAUUGUAAGUUUAUUAAGUAGUAUUAGCUUUUCUUCAUAUAAAGACUGUAUUUAUAUAUUAUUUUAAUUUUUUAUAUGUUCAUGUUGUGAUUUCAUUUUCAUAGCUCUGAUGGAUUGGUAACGAUGACAUUAUGUUUACACUUUUAAAAUUUAUAUGACUUGAUAAAAACUAAUAUUUUCAGAUAUAUACAUAUUCUACUACUAUUAGGCUGUUUCAUUAUCUUAAUCAUCUGUGUAAUAGUGUUACAAAAAACUUUAUUUAGUUCGAUUUCCAAAACGAUUUAUAUGUGGUAUUAUGUGUACAAUAUUAUUGUCUUGUUUAACCCCGCCGCAUUUUUGCGCCUGUCCCAAGUCAGGAGCCUCUAGCCUUUGUCAGUCUUGUAUUAUUUUUAAUUUUAGUUUCUUGUGUACAAUUUGGUGUUUAGUAUGGCGUUCAUUAUCACUGAACUAGUAUAUAUAUUUGUUUAGGGGCCAGCUGAAGGACGCCUCCGGGUGCGGGAUUUUCUCGCUGCAUUGAAGACCUGUUGGUGACCUUCUGCUGUUGUCUGUUCUAUGGUCGGGUUGUUGUCUCUUUGACACAUUCCCCAUUUCCAUUCUCAAUUUUAUUCCUUAUGAAAAUUUUAAUAUGAAGUUAGUUAAAUAUGCUAGUAAGAUGUUUUGGGGUUUUGAAGACAAAUGUAUAUUUUUUGUUGUAUUAUUUUCAUAAAUAAAGUUGUUAAUAUAUCA